UGCAUUGGAUUGAGAACAACGUAAAACUCUUAUCGAUAAGCCAUUGGAGGGCAAGUCUGGUGCCAGCAGCCGCGGUAAUUCCAGCUCCAAUAGCGUAUAUUAACGUUGUUGCAGUUAAAAAGCUCGUAGUUGAAGUGAGGGAGUGUGUGUUGUGAUCGAAUCGAUCGAGAGCAGUACAACCUCCCCCUUCCAAUGGGUGUAUUGGGGUAUUCAUUUACUUCAUUACUCCUUUGGUCGUUUACUGUGAGAAAAUUAGAGUGUUCAAAGCGGGCGUUUGUUUGAAUAGAUUAGCAUGGAAUAAUGAUUGAAGGCUUUCGUGUUCGAUUUGAUUGGUUUGUUCAUGGAAGCAAGGUUAAAAGGAACAGUUGGGGGUAUUCAUAUUCACUAGUUAGAGGUGAAAUUCUCGGAUUUAUGGAAGAUGAACAAGUGCCGAAAG
rnacentral:rRNA from 1 species